rnacentral:rRNA from 1 species
CCACCGCGGUUAUACGAGAGGCCCAAGUUGUUAGUCCUCGGCGUAAAGAGUGGUUAGGAACAGCCCAGAUACUAAAGCCAAACACCUUCAAAGCUGUUAUACGCUCUCGAAGACAAGAAGUUCAACAACGAAAGUGGCUUUAAAUUUUCCGAACCCACGAAAGCUAUGGUACAAACUGGGAUUAGAUACCCCACUAUGCCUAGCCGUAAACAUUGACAGCAAGCUACAUAUGCUGUCCGCCCGGGAACUACGAGCAUUAGCUUAAAACCCAAAGGACUUGGCGGUGCUUUAGAUCCACCUAGAGGAGCCUGUUCUAGAACCGAUAACCCCCGUUCAACCUCACCCUUCCUUGUUUCUCCCGCCUAUAUACCACCGCCGUCAGCUUACCCUGUGAAGGUCUAACAGUAAGCAAAAUUGGCACAGCCCAAAACGUCAGGUCGAGGUGUAGCGUAUGGAAGGGGAAGAAAUGGGCUACAUUCCCUCCCCCAGGGAAUUACGGACGAUGCAUUGAAAUAUGCAUCCGAAGGAGGAUUUAGCAGUAAGUGAAAAAUAGAGUGUCUCACUGAAAUUGGCCCUGAAGCGCGCACACACCGCCCGUCACUCUCCCCGAGCUACCACACAGCCCCUUAAUUUAAACCAUUAAAACUGCAAAGGGGAGGCAAGUCGUAACAUGGUAAGUG